AACGCACAUUGCGCCCGCCAGUAUUCUGGCGGGCAUGCCUGUUCGAGCGUCAUUUCAACCCUCAAGCCCCAGCGGUUUGGUGUUGGGGACCGGCGAGUACAGAGGCUUUGGGGACUUGUCCCCCUUCCCUCGGCGCCGCCCCCGAAAUGAAUUGGCGGUCUCGUCGCGGCCUCCUCUGCGUAGUAGCACAACCUCGCAUCAGGAGCGCGGCGCGGCCACUGCCGUAAAACGCCCAACUUUUUUUUUAAGAGUUGACCUCGAAUCAGGUAGGAAUACCCGCUGAACUUAA
rnacentral:misc_RNA from 1 species